rnacentral:siRNA from 1 species
UCAACUCGGGACUUUAAUGCGCA